UGACGGGGCCCGCACAAGCAGCGGAGCAUGUGGCUUAAUUCGACGCAACGCGAAGAACCUUACCCACCUUUGACAUGGCAGGAAUCCCGAAGAGAUUUGGGAGUGCUCGAAAGAGAACCUGCACACAGGUGCUGCAUGGCUGUCGUCAGCUCGUGCCGUGAGAUGUUGGGUUAAGUCCCGCAACGAGCGCAACCCUUGCCAUUAGUUGCUACGAAAGGGCACUCUAAUGGGACUGCCGGUGACAAACCGGAGGAAGGUGGGGAUGACGUCAAGUCCUCAUGGCCCUUAUAGGUGGGGCUACACACGUCAUACAAUGGCCGGUACAGAGGGUAGCCAACCCGCGAGGGGGAGCCAAUCCCACAAAGCCGGUCGUAGUCCGGAUCGCAGUCUGCAACUCGACUGCGUGAAGUCGGAAUCGCUAGUAAUCGCGGAUCAGCAUGUCGCGGUGAAUACGUUCCCGGGUCUU
rnacentral:rRNA from 1 species